GCGGGAGUGGUGAAAUUGGCAGACACGCAGGAUUUAGGAUCCUGUGCCUUCGGGCGUGGGGGUUCAAGUCCCCCCUUCCGCA
rnacentral:tRNA from 2 species